AUGCAGGGCUGUGUGCCUUGAGAACCAAGAACCACUGCUGCAGAGCAUAUAACUGUGUGCUAAUAAAAUGCCAACAUGGAACAUCAGUAAUGACCCUAGAGAUGCAGGUGUUGCUCUCCAUCAAUAUACCGGCGAGGUGACAAAGCAGGGCGAGUUCUUUAAAAGAGGCAGAGGAAGGAGGAGACAGAAGUGUGUUAGCGCUGGAAGUCCUGAAGGCGCCGCAUAAGAGUCAUUGGGAAAAGGGCCCCAGUUUGUCGCACCUCCCUUCUCCCUCCUUGAUUGGAUUCAUCUUGGCUGAUUGAGAAUCUGCUUACAUUAAAGCCAGAGAGAAGAGAUAAGAUCUGACAGAUCUGACCACUGAAGG